UUGCACCUCAGAGGAGUACAACUCUUUCACAGUUUUCAAAAUGCUGCAGCUGGAAAACAAUCGAUGACACUAUCGAUACUAUUGACUUUUUUAAAUUUUAUAAACAUCGGUUCUUUGGCCACUAUCGCUUGUUUUUAUUAUAUCUGUGAAUUGAGGACAACUGAAAUUUAUAUUUCCUUGGAAGCGAACCAUGGUGUUGGUUUGUGAGAAGUGUUGUUUCUAAAUGACGCUAUGCAUACAAGUGAAAAUGUAAACAUGCCUCUACUUUGGACUUCUUGUGCGAUACUUGCGGAAUUAUCGGAAAUGUUUCACAUGCAAUUCUCAGCAGUUCGAAAACUGUCAUAGACUUCGUAACACAAACAAAUUUGGACAACUGAUUUAACAUUUUAAUCAAUUUUUUGUGGCGAUUUUCACCUUGUAAAAUGGUUAUCAAAUGGUUUUCACUCGUGUGAUUAUGGAGCGGCCCCCUGCCCAUGGGUCGGUUAAGAACAUAAAACACAAAAAAAAAACAAUAUUUUAGCUAUGACCAAUAAAAAAUAUUUCCCAAUUGCACCGUCAACUACCCAACACAGUCAACUCAUUUUGCGCAAACGCAUCGCAAAGUUGCAUCAUGAUACGAACAAA